UACGUAGGCAGCAAGCGUUGUUCGGAAUUACUGGGCGUAAAGAGUGUGUAGGCGGUGUUCUAAGUUUGGUGUGAAAUCUCCCGGCUCAACUGGGAGGGUGCGCCGAAAACUGGAAUGCUAGAGUAUGGGAGAGGUAAGCGGAAUUCCUGGUGUAGCGGUGAAAUGCGCAGAUAUCAGGAGGAACACCGGUGGCGAAGGCGGUUCUCUGGGCAUGUCCUGACGCUGAGGAGCGAAAGUGUGGGGAGCGAACAGG
rnacentral:rRNA from 1 species